CUAAAACAACUACAACGCUAUAUUUAUAGACUUUAUCUGUGACGAUGAACCCAACUUUGGUGCUUGACACGGUUUUCUGUAGAAAUCCUGAAAUAUACAGAGUGUAUUACCAAAUGCUUGCUUCUUUGAGUAUGUGCCUGAAACAAGAAUGUCUUGGAGAAACAGACCACCACAAGAGAAGGGAUUGAGAGGAAAGCCUUGCUGUUGAGAGAUCAUGGGGUGCCUUGAGGUUCCACAUCCAGUCUUGAUGUUCUACCCCUUACCUCAAAGCGAUGGACUCUUGUGCC